GAUAGUUAAGAAUGUUACUAUAGGUCUUUCAAUAAAUUUUGCUUUUAAGGGAAGUUACUAUUUAUUCCUAAUUAAAUGGGGAGACAAGUCUUUCCAGAGGAACUUCUACUUUACUUUUUACAAUUCCUCCUCUUAUUUCAUAAUUCUUCUUCAAACUUGUUUAAUAUGUUUUGACUUAAUUGCUUUGUUUGUCCUUUUAAGAGAAGUAAUUUUUCUGAAUAAGGUGGAGGAGAGUUAGGAGUUAACUCUGUAAGCAUGGCAGAGACAGGUUUUUGUGUAAAACUUCGACGGUAGGGAAUAAUAUAACAGCCUACAAGAAUAAGUACACCAAUAACAACAGCAAAUGAGGGCAAAGCGGCUGAGAUCUUUGAACUCCCUUUGAACUUUGAGAAUGGUGACUGGAAGAUGACAAUUCAUGUUGUUUUCAGGAAAGAGCUAUGACCGAGAAACCAAGGAACUCACUAUCUUGUCCUCUUGGAUGCCAGCUAUAAAUUGAAUCAAGUUGGACACCGGAAUUUUGACCACUUUCCACCUUUCUAUCGUGGUCAGGUUUCUUCAUGAGAAGAGGAGAUUCGGUCACAGGCAUGUACAGAAGAAGACUGUGUGAAGACACAGAAGAAGUUAUCUACAAACCAACGAGAGAGGCUUCAGAAGAAACCAACAUUGUUGACACCCUGAUCUUGGAUUUCUAGACUCAGGAAUUAUGAGAAAAUAAAUUUUUAUUGUUUAAGCCACC
rnacentral:lncRNA from 1 species